rnacentral:rRNA from 1 species
UACGGAGGGAGCGAGCGUUAUUCGGAAUCAUUGGGCGUAAAGAGCGUGUAGGCGGCUGGACAAGUCGUAUGUGAAAGCCCGGGGCUCAACCCGGGAAUUGCAUUCGAAACUGCCCGUCUAGAGUCUCAGAGAGGAGGGCGGAAUUCCCGGUGUAGAGGUGAAAUGCGUACAUAUCGGGAGGAACACCGGUGGCGAAGGCGGCCCUCUGGAUUAUGACUGACGCUGAGACGCGAACGCGUGGGGAGCAAACAGGAUUAGAUACCCUGGUAGUCCACGCCGUAAGCGUUGGACGCUAGGUGUCGCGGGUAUCUGACCCCUGCGGGGCCGACGUUAACGUAUUUAGCACCCCGCCGGGGGAGUACGGCCGCAAGACUAAAAUUCAAAGGAAUGGCCGGGGGCCCGCACAAGCGGUGGAUCAUGUGGUUUAAUUGGAAGCAACGCGAAGACCCUUCCCUGGUCUGGCCAUCCGGGGAACCUCUCAGAAACGAGAGGGUCCCUUCGGGAGCCCCAACACAGGUGCUGCAUGGCUGUCGUCAGCUCGUGUCGUGAGGUGUCGGGUUAAGUCCCGCAACGAGCGCAACCCCUAUCGCUAGUUGCCAUCAGUUUGACUGGGCCCUCUAGUGAGACCGCCGGUGUUCAACCGGAGGAAGGCGGGGAAGACGUCAAGUCCUCAUGGCCCCUAUGUCCAGGGCUAAUCCCCUGCUACAAUGGGCGGUUCCGAGGGUCGCGAGCCCUCGAGAGGAAGCUAAUUCCACAAAGCCGAUCUCAGUUCGGAUCGGAGUCUGCAACUUGACUCCAUGAAGGAGGAAUCGCUAGUAAUCGCGGAUCAGCAUGCCGCGGUGAAUACGCUCCCGGGCCU